UACGAAGGGUGCAAGCGUUACUCGGAAUUACUGGGCGUAAAGCGUGCGUAGGUGGUUCGUUAAGUCUGAUGUGAAAGCCCUGGGCUCAACCUGGGAAUGGCAUUGGAAACUGGCGACCUAGAGUGCGGUAGAGGGCAGUGGAAUUCCCGGUGAUAGCAGUGAAAUGCGUAGAGAUCGGGAGGAACAUCUGUGGCGAAGGCGACUGCCUGGACCAGCACUGACACUGAGGCACGAAAGCGUGGGGAGCAAACAGG
rnacentral:rRNA from 1 species